UACGUAGGGUGCAAGCGUUGUCCGGAAUUAUUGGGCGUAAAGAGCUCGUAGGCGGUGUGUCGCGUCUGCUGUGAAAACUCAGGGCUCAACUCUGAGCUUGCAGUGGGUACGGGCACACUUGAGUGCUGUAGGGGAGACUGGAAUUCCUGGUGUAGCGGUGAAAUGCGCAGAUAUCAGGAGGACACCGGUGGCGAAGGCGGGUCUCUGGGCAGUUACUGACGCUGAGGAGCGAAAGCAUGGGGAGCGAACAGG
rnacentral:rRNA from 1 species